rnacentral:rRNA from 1 species
AAGAAGCAAAGCCGCGAGGUAGAGCAAAUCUCAAAAAAAACAUCUCAGUUCAGACUGCAGGCUGCAACUCGCCUGCACGAGGCCGGAAUUGCUAGUAAUCGUAGGUCAGCAUACUACGGUGAAUACGUUCCCGGGCCUUGUACACACCGCCCGUCACACCAUGGGAGUCGGUAACACCCGAAGCCUGUAGUCUAACCGCAAGGAGGACGCAGUCGAAGGUGGGAUUGAUGACUGGGGUGAAGUCGUAACAAGGUAAC